rnacentral:antisense_RNA from 1 species
UUCUAUGGGUGGUUCGUGUGGGGAGCCUUCGGGCUCGCCGGUCCUGGUUCCGGUCUGCGAACCCGCACGAAUCGGCCCACCACU